rnacentral:rRNA from 1 species
CAGUCGCCGCGGGAAUACGUAGGGUGCAAGCGUUAAUCGGAAUUACUGGGCGUAAAGCGUGCGUAGGCGGUUUGUUAAGUCUGUUGUGAAAUCCCCGGGCUCAACCUGGGAAUGGCAAUGGAUACUGGCAAGCUAGAGUGUGUCAGAGGAUGGUGGAAUUCCCGGUGUAGCGGUGAAAUGCGUAGAGAUCGGGAGGAACAUCAGUGGCGAAGGCGGCCAUCUGGGACAACACUGACGCUGAGGCACGAAAGCGUGGGGAGCGAACAGGAUUAGAUACCCGAGUAGUCCCUGUCUCUUAUAA